rnacentral:rRNA from 1 species
UACGAAGGGUGCUAGCGUUGCUCGGAAUCACUGGGCGUAAAGGGUGCGUAGGCGGGUCUUUAAGUCAGGGGUGAAAUCCUGGAGCUCAACUCCAGAACUGCCUUUGAUACUGGCGAUCUCGAGUCCGGGAGAGGUGAGUGGAACUGCGAGUGUAGAGGUGAAAUUCGUAGAUAUUCGCAAGAACACCAGUGGCGAAGGCGGCUCACUGGCCCGAUACUGACGCUGAGGCACGAAAGCGUGGGGAGCAAACAGG